GAUGAACGCUGGCGGCGUGCCUAAUACAUGCAAGUCGAGCGAACAGACGAGGAGCUUGCUCCUCUGACGUUAGCGGCGGACGGGUGAGUAACAUGAGGAUAACCUACCUAUAAGACGGGGAUAACUUGGGGAAACCGGAGCUAAUACCGGAGAAUAUAUUGAACCGCAGGGGUCAAUGGUGAAAGACGGUUUUGGUGUAACGAAUAGAUGGAUCCGCGCCGGAUGAGCGGGUUGGGAAGGUCAAGGCUUACGAAGGCAAGGAUGCGUAUCCGACCUGAUAGGCUGGUCGGCCACCCGGGAACUUAGCCACGCUCCAUACUCCUACGGGAGGCAGCAGUCGCGAAUCUUCCGCAAUGGGCGAAAGCUUUACGGAGCAACGCCGCGUGAGUGAUGAAGGUCUUCCGAUCGUAAAACUCUGUUAUUAGGUGAGAACCACUUUGUAAGUUACUAUGCACGUCUUGACGGUACCUAGUCAGAAAGCCACGGCUAACUACGUG
rnacentral:rRNA from 1 species